rnacentral:rRNA from 1 species
CCUGACUGCUAUCGGAUUGAUACUAAGCCAUGCGAGUCUUUGCAGUAAUGCAAGGCAUACGGCUCAGUAACACGUAGUCAACUUACCCUAUGGACGAGGAUAAUCUCGGGAAACUGAGCAUAAUACUCGAUAGAUCAUAAUGCCUGGAAUGGUUUAUGGUUGAAAUGAUUCGUCGCCAUAGGAUGGGACUGCGGCCUAUCAGCUUGUUGGUGAGGUAAUGGCCCACCAAGGCGAUUACAGGUACGGGCUCUGAGAGGAGAAGCCCGGAGAUGGGUACUGAGACAAGGACCCAGGCCCUAUGGGGCGCAGCAGGCGAGAAAACUUUGCAAUGUGCGAAAGCACGACAAGGUUAAUCCGAGUGAUUUCUGCUAAAGAAAUCUUUUGCAAGUCAUAAAACCACUAGUGAAUAAGGGGUGGGCAAGUUCUGGUGUCAGCCGCCGCGGUAAAACCAGCACCUCAAGUGGUCAGGAGGAUUAUUGGGCCUAAAGCAUCCGUAGCCGGCUCUGUAAGUUUUCGGUUAAAUCCAUGUGCUCAACGCAUGGGCUGCCGAAAAUACUGCAUAGCUAGGGAGUGGGAGAGGUAGACGGUACUCGGUAGGAAGGGGUAAAAUCCUUUGAUCUAUCGAUGACCACCUGUGGCGAAGGCGGUCUACCAGAACACGUUCGACGGUGAGGGAUGAAAGCUGGGGGAGCAAACCGGAUUAGAUACCCGGGUAGUCCCAGCUGUAAACGAUGCAGACUCGAUGAUGCAUUGGCAUAUAGCCAGUGCAGUGUCGCAGGGAAGCCGUUAAGUCUGCCGCCUGGGAAGUACGUACGCAAGUAUGAAACUUAAAGGAAUUGGCGGGGGAGCACCACGAAGGGGUGAAGCCUGCGGUUC